AGUAACGCGUGAGGAACCUGCCUCAAAGAGGGGGACAACAGUUGGAAACGACUGCUAAUACCGCAUAAGCCCACAGCUCGGCAUCGAGCAGAGGGAAAAGGAGUGAUCCGCUUUGAGAUGGCCUCGCGUCCGAUUAGCUAGUUGGUGAGGUAACGGCCCACCAAGGCAACGAUCGGUAGCCGGACUGAGAGGUUGAACGGCCACAUUGGGACUGAGACACGCCCAG
rnacentral:rRNA from 1 species